rnacentral:rRNA from 1 species
CUGAUUUAUGUAUAGAUGGUAUGUGAUAAAAAUAAGAGUACAAACUUGAAUUAAUACUUGGCCGUGUGUAUCAAUGUGUUUAAAUUGUAUAAAUUAAUAGUAUAUUGGAGAAAAAUGAAUUCAAUGUUGUUAUUUUAAAAAUUAUAUUAAAAACAAAUCAAGGUUAUCUGAUAAGAUAUAUCUUGUCGCUGAAGUGCCGAAGCACAAGGUGAUGAAGUUAACAAGUUUAAGAAGAAAAUGAUUUGACAGCUUCUAAAACAUCUAAAAACAAAUUUGAAAAAAGUUCUUGACAAAGAACGACAAAUUUGAUAAGAUAUAAAAGUCGCUGAGGCGAUGUGGUCUUUGAAAAUUAAACAGAGAAUUAACAAGAAACAUUCUUGUAACAGCCAGUAAGAUAAGGUAAUAUACCUUGUCAAUGAAUUUGAGAAGAGAUUAAACUUUUAAAUUUAGAGUUUGAUCCUGGCUCAGGACGAACGCUGGCGGCGUGCUUAACACAUGCAAGUCGAGCGAUGAAGCUUCCUUCGGGAGGUGGAUUAGCGGCGGACGGGUGAGUAACACGUGGGUAACCUGCCUCAAAGUGGGGGAUAGCCUUCCGAAAGGAAGAUUAAUACCGCAUAAUAUGAGAGAAUCGCAUGAUUUUCUUAUCAAAGAUUUAUUGCUUUGAGAUGGACCCGCGGCGCAUUAGCUAGUUGGUAAGGUAACGGCUUACCAAGGCAACGAUGCGUAGCCGACCUGAGAGGGUGAUCGGCCACAUUGGAACUGAGACACGGUCCAGACUCCUACGGGAGGCAGCAGUGGGGAAUAUUGCGCAAUGGGGGAAACCCUGACGCAGCAACGCCGCGUGGGUGAUGAAGGUCUUCGGAUUGUAAAGCCCUGUUUUCUAGGACGAUAAUGACGGUACUAGAGGAGGAAGCCACGGCUAACUACGUGCCAGCAGCCGCGGUAAUACGUAGGUGGCGAGCGUUGUCCGGAUUUACUGGGCGUAAAGGGUGCGUAGGCGGAUGUUUAAGUGGGAUGUGAAAUCCCCGGGCUUAACCUGGGGGCUGCAUUCCAAACUGGAUAUCUAGAGUGCAGGAGAGGAAAGCGGAAUUCCUAGUGUAGCGGUGAAAUGCGUAGAGAUUAGGAAGAACACCAGUGGCGAAGGCGGCUUUCUGGACUGUAACUGACGCUGAGGCACGAAAGCGUGGGUAGCAAACAGGAUUAGAUACCCUGGUAGUCCACGCCGUAAACGAUGGAUACUAGGUGUAGGGGGUAUCAACUCCCCCUGUGCCGCAGUUAACACAAUAAGUAUCCCGCCUGGGGAGUACGGUCGCAAGAUUAAAACUCAAAGGAAUUGACGGGGGCCCGCACAAGCAGCGGAGCAUGUGGUUUAAUUCGAAGCAACGCGAAGAACCUUACCUGGACUUGACAUCCCUUGCAUAGCCUAGAGAUAGGUGAAGCCCUUCGGGGCAAGGAGACAGGUGGUGCAUGGUUGUCGUCAGCUCGUGUCGUGAGAUGUUAGGUUAAGUCCUGCAACGAGCGCAACCCUUGUUAUUAGUUGCUACCAUUAAGUUGAGCACUCUAAUGAGACUGCCUGGGUAACCAGGAGGAAGGUGGGGAUGACGUCAAAUCAUCAUGCCCCUUAUGUCCAGGGCUACACACGUGCUACAAUGGUAGGUACAAUAAGACGCAAGACCGUGAGGUGGAGCAAAACUUAUAAAACCUAUCUCAGUUCGGAUUGUAGGCUGCAACUCGCCUACAUGAAGCUGGAGUUGCUAGUAAUCGCGAAUCAGAAUGUCGCGGUGAAUACGUUCCCGGGCCUUGUACACACCGCCCGUCACACCAUGAGAGCUGGUAACACCCGAAGUCCGUGAGGUAACCGUAAGGAACCAGCGGCCGAAGGUGGGAUUAGUGAUUGGGGUGAAGUCGUAACAAGGUAGCCGUAGGAGAACCUGCGGCUGGAUCACCUCC